GUAACAAUGACCCCAUCAGUGUGGUUUCAGUGGAGACCCUGGACUUCCACCGCCUCUGGCAGUAACGAGGUUCCCCUUUCCCACGUCCACUUGGAUCAUGUGGAGGAGACCUACCAGAGACUAAGGAUUUUUAUCACCUCCCAGUGAUGAAAUGGGACAAGACCACUCCCCUCCACCCCGUGGUGUCUGUUGAGUCCCCAGUGGGAGCAAGAAUAAGGCAUUACCCCACCCAGCCAUGGAGGUUUCCAUGGAGGCCUACUAGGGAGCCAGAACUCCCACCCUACAGUGUAGUAACGGAAUCC
rnacentral:lncRNA from 10 species